CCUACGGGAGGCAGCAGUAGGGAAUAUUGGGCAAUGGAGGCAACUCUGACCCAGCCAUGCCGCGUGCAGGAAGAAGGCGUUAUGCGUUGUAAACUGCUUUUAUAUAGGAAGAAAUAGUCCUUGCGAGGAAAGUUGACGGUACUAUAUGAAUAAGCACCGGCUAACUCCGUGCCAGCAGCCGCGGUAAUACGGAGGGUGCAAGCGUUGUCCGGAUUUAUUGGGUUUAAAGGGUGCGUAGGCGGUUUAUUAAGUCAGUGGUGAAAGACGGUCGCUCAACGAUUGCAGUGCCAUUGAUACUGGUAGACUUGAGUGGGAUUGAGGUAGCUGGAAUGGAUAGUGUAGCGGUGAAAUGCAUAGAUAUUAUCCAGAACACCAAUUGCGUAGGCAAGUUACUAAGUCUCAACUGACGCUGAGGCACGAAAGUGUGGGUAUCAAACAGGAUUAGAUACCCUGGUAGUCCACACUGUAAACGAUGAUAACUAACUGUUGGCUUUCGGGUCAGUGGUACAGAGAAAUCGUUAAGUUAUCCACCUGGGGAGUACGCCGGCAACGGUGAAACUCAAAGGAAUUGACGGCUGAGACGNGCGAGACGACGACGAGGGAGGAGG
rnacentral:rRNA from 1 species